rnacentral:lncRNA from 10 species
GGGACACUAUCAAUAAGCGAUAGAAGCCCAGGACUCAAGCUGUAGUUAACUUGCUUUCCUCUCUUCUAAAUGUUAAAGGAAAGUUCACAUCCAGGGUAGUUAGGAGACAGAGCAGCAUUUUAAAUGCUGUCAAAUUCCAGCUGAAUUCAGAAAAUUCAGAAUUUUCUGAACGGUGUUGCACAAGAUGUUUUUGAAUGUUACAUGAAAAAAUGAGUCCCUAAUCAAAAAGUUUGGGAAACUCUGGAUUGAACCAAGUUGUGCAGUUUAUUUGAUUGCAGAAAAUGUUGGGGUCACUGGUGUGCUCACUUGCCUUGUGAUUUUUUUUUUUAAAUUUUGGACAGAGAACAUUCCCAUAUUUGACCAUGGACUCACUUCUUACAGAAAAUCCCAUGGGAUAAACAUUCCACAUAGUAAACAUUUAGGAAAUAAUGGUGUGGUCAGAGGCUACAUCUUUACCCUGCCGGUUUUCUCAAAGCACUGCCCAUGGGCCACCUACACUAGAAUCUUCUUAGCUCCAUUACACAACUACUGAAUCACAGUCUCAGGCCUGUGGCUUGGAAAUCCGCAUUUUCAAAGCUCUCUGAGCUAUAGUCUUACGCUUAUUGAAGUUUGGGAUCCACCAGGUGACAGAGUUGUGCCUCCACUUUACAGACACCAUGACUUGAUCAAUUUACAUCCAGGUACCUCCUCCUGGCUCCCUAAAACUCAUUUCUCUCAUCACCAUGUGGUACCCGGAUAAUUUUCUCAGCUCUGUUCCAAGCAGCUUGCAUUUAUCUUUAUUGUUGCUCUUUUUAUUGAUUUAGGUCCAUCUCUGCAAUUCGUCAAGCUUGGAUUGCAUUUUAAUCUUGUCCUCCAAAGUAGCUAAGAUCCCUUCCAGCUUCCUAUCAUCCAGAAAUCUGAUUAGCUGGGUCUCGAUUCCAUCCUUCAAGCCAUUAAUGAAAACAUUAAAUGGUCCUGGCUUGGCAUGAAGGUCUUCAGGGUUCUCGGUGGGUAUAUGGCUCCCAUAUCUGCCACUAGCCUCUGCUUGGCAUAGUCCUGGGUUGGAGAUCAGGCCCAAUAUUUCAGUUGUAGGUUACUGCAUCCUCAUGCUUCCUCAUCCAUGCACGUAGUGCAAAUCUGUGUAGGAAAAAUACAACCUAG